UACGGGGGGGGCAAGCGUUGUUCGGAAUUACUGGGCGUAAAGGGCUCGUAGGCGGCCAACUAAGUCGGACGUGAAAUCCCCAGGCUCAACCUGGGAACUGCGUCUGAUACUGGAUGGCUUGAAUCCGGGAGAGGGAUGCAGAAUUCCAGGUGUAGCGGUGAAAUGCGUAGAUAUCGGGAGGAACACCGGUGGCGAAGGCGGUUCUCUGGGCAUUACCUGACGCUGAGGAGCGAAAGUGUGGGGAGCGAACAGG
rnacentral:rRNA from 1 species